rnacentral:rRNA from 1 species
ACGAACGCUGGCGGUGUGCUUAACACAUGCAAGUCGCACGGUAAGGCCCUUUCGGGGGUACACGAGUGGCGAACGGGUGAGUAACACGUGAGUAACCUGCCCUCAUCUCUGGGAUAACAGUCGGAAACGGUUGCUAAUACUGGAUAUGAGCUUGCAAGGCAUCUUGUGGGUUGGAAAGAUUUUUUUGGUUGGGGAUGGACUCGCGGCCUAUCAGCUUGUUGGUGAGGUAGUGGCUCACCAAGGCUUCGACGGGUAGCCGGCCUGAGAGGGCGACCGGCCACAUUGGGACUGAGAUACGGCCCAAACUCCUACGGGAGGCAGCAGUGGGGAAUAUUGCACAAUGGACGGAAGUCUGAUGCAGCAACGCCGCGUGCGGGAUGACGGCCUUCGGGUUGUAAACCGCUUUCAAUUGUGACGAAGCUUUUUGUGACGGUAGCAGUAGAAGAAGCACCGGCUAACUACGUG